CGGUGCUGUAUGCAGGGCCCAGGAAGCAUUGGUGGAGUUUUGACUUCCAGGGAGAUGGGGAUCGCUGAGGAGUCUUCAACUCCGCAGUGAGGAGGCUGUGACCAGCAUCCCAAGUGACAGGAAAAGUGACGGAGAGAGAGUUGCACACGGAAAGAAGGAAAACCACAUAGCAGGCUGUUGGAAGAGAGCCUGGCAAAGCAGAACAGAAGUGCCACGGGAGCACUGGCCAAAUUACGGGACUUCUGGGCUGACUUAAACCUGUUGCAGAUUAUAACCGUGCAGAGAAAGGUUUUCUGUUGUUUUGUAGCUGUAACUGCUGAGAAUUUUUGACAGAAAGAAGACUCUUGCUUCUUAGCUCCCUCUGCUGGACUUUUCAACCACUUGUGCUUUUCCUGUGGGGUUCCCAGAUUGGUGCCACAGCAAAGAGGAAAGUGAGCCUUCGUCACUUCUGAGGGACUCAGGACUCCAGGUGAAGGAGGAUGGUCCUUCCUGUAUGAGGGAUGGCAAACUGCAUCACUCAAGCCUGCAGAAGCCCUGUUGUCCUUCCAUUCUACCCUUCAGCACUCAUGUGGGCAUCUAAGCCAAGGGGGAGCUCAGCAGUGGCUACUGUAUUCUUUCAGUUCCCACCUCCCUGGGGAAACACCUUUCUACAGGGUGAGUCCUCUGUGACUCGCUCUAUCAGAUGCCACGCCCCCAGCAGUUCCUCUCUGUCCCUCCAGUUUACUGGAAAUACCCAAGUGUGUGUAUGAGCCCAUGACCCACCCCACCCCCACCCCACCCUCAUGGGACACAGAGCACCAAUAGGAAGACCCAUUUCCUCACUCCCAUCUGUCAGGUCUGGUCACCAGCUGACCUGACAUAUCUGAAGUCACCCUCCACUGCCCUUCCUCUUCUGAUAAUGGUUUGCAUCAGCACGAUGCCUUUUCCCCAAAGGUUCUGUGAAAAUACCAAACAGCACCAGAUGUUCCAAGUGCAAUUGAAAUCACUACAUUUAAAUUAAUUUUAUAGGACUUCCUCACCAGAGUGGUGAGAAGUUAAAAGCGUUGGUUGCUCUUCUAGUGGACCUGGGUUUGAUUCCCAGCUCCCACACAACAGCUCACAACAACCUAUGAUUCCUAUUCCUGUGACCUACAUGUACACACAUAUGUAGAUAUAAUUACUUUGAUAUGUGUAAUACUUUAUCUCAGAGUUAAUAUUAGUAUUUAAAAUUGGAAUGACAGCUGGAGAGAUGGCUCAGUGGUUAGGAACACUGACUGCUCUUCCAGUGGUCCUGAGUUCAAUUCCCAGCAAUCACAUGGUGACUCACAACCAUCUGUAAUGGGAUCUGAUGGCCUCUUCUGGUGUGUCUGAAGACAUCGACCG
rnacentral:lncRNA from 1 species